GCCGGUGUGUCGGAAUUGGCAGACGAGGCAGACUCAAAAUCUGUUGAGAGCAAUCUCGUGCGGGUUCAAGUCCCGCCACCGGCA
rnacentral:tRNA from 1 species